UUCUGUAGCAAGGUUAACCGAAUAGGGGAGCCGGAGGGAAACCGAGUCUUAAUUGGGCGUUAAGUUGCAGGGUAUAGACCCGAAACCCGGUGAUCUAGCCAUGGGCAGGUUGAAGGUUGGGUAACACUAACUGGAGGACCGAACCGACUAAUGUUGAAAAAUUAGCGGAUGACCUGUGGCUGGGGGUGAAAGGCCAAUCAAACCGGGAGAUAGCUGGUUCUCCCCGAAAGCUAUUUAGGUAGCGCCUCGUGAAUUCAUCUCCGGGGGUAGAGCACUGUUUCGGCUAGGGGGCCAUCCCGGCUUACCAACCCGAUGCAAACUGCGAAUACCGGAGAAUGUUAUCACGGGAGACACACGGCGGGUGCUAACGUCCGUCGUGAAGAGGGAAACAACCCAGACCGCCAGCUAAGGUCCCAAAGUCAUGGUUAAGUGGGAAACGAUGUGGGAAGGCCCAGACAGCCAGGAUGUUGGCUUAGAAGCAGCCAUCAUUUAAAGAAAGCGUAAUAGCUCACUGGUCGAGUCGGCCUGCGCGGAAGAUGUAACGGGGCUAAACCAUGCACCGAAGCUGCGGCAGCGACGCUUAUGCGUUGUUGGGUAGGGGAGCGUUCUGUAAGCCUGCGAAGGUGGCCUGUGAGGGUUGCUGGAGGUAUCAGAAGUGCGAAUGCUGACAUAAGUAACGAUAAAGCGGGUGAAAAGCCCGCUCGCCGGAAGACCAAGGGUUCCUGUCCAACGUUAAUCGGGGCAGGGUGAGUCGACCCCUAAGGCGAGGCCGAAAGGCGUAGUCGAUGGGAAACGGGUUAAUAUUCCCGUACUUGGUGUUACUGCGAAGGGGGGACGGAGAAGGCUAUGUUGGCCGGGCGACGGUUGUCCCGGUUUAAGCGUGUAGGUGUGUGUUCCAGGUAAAUCCGGUUCACUUUAACACUGAGGCGUGACGACGAGGCACUACGGUGCUGAAGCAACAAAUGCCCUGCUUCCAGGAAAAGCCUCUAAGCAUCAGGUAACAUCAAAUCGUACCCCAAACCGACACAGGUGGUCAGGUAGAGAAUACCAAGGCGCUUGAGAGAACUCGGGUGAAGGAACUAGGCAAAAUGGUGCCGUAACUUCGGGAGAAGGCACGCUGACACGUAGGUGAAGUGAUUUACUCAUGGAGCUGAAGUCAGUCGAAGAUACCAGCUGGCUGCAACUGUUUAUUAAAAACACAGCACUGUGCAAACACGAAAGUGGACGUAUACGGUGUGACGCCUGCCCGGUGCCGGAAGGUUAAUUGAUGGGGUCAGCGCAAGCGAAGCUCCUGAUCGAAGCCCCGGUAAACGGCGGCCGUAACUAUAACGGUCCUAAGGUAGCGAAAUUCCUUGUCGGGUAAGUUCCGACCUGCACGAAUGGCGUAAUGAUGGCCAGGCUGUCUCCACCCGAGACUCAGUGAAAUUGAACUCGCUGUGAAGAUGCAGUGUACCCGCGGCAAGACGGAAAGACCCCGUGAACCUUUACUAUAGCUUGACACUGAACAUUGAGCCUUGAUGUGUAGGAUAGGUGGGAGGCUUUGAAGUGUGGACGCCAGUCUGCAUGGAGCCGACCUUGAAAUACCACCCUUUAAUGUUUGAUGUUCUAACGUGGACCCGUUACCCGGGUUGCGGACAGUGUCUGGUGGGUAGUUUGACUGGGGCGGUCUCCUCCUAAAGAGUAACGGAGGAGCACGAAGGUUGGCUAAUCCUGGUCGGACAUCAGGAGGUUAGUGCAAUGGCAUAAGCCAGCUUGACUGCGAGCGUGACGGCGCGAGCAGGUGCGAAAGCAGGUCAUAGUGAUCCGGUGGUUCUGAAUGGAAGGGCCAUCGCUCAACGGAUAAAAGGUACUCCGGGGAUAACAGGCUGAUACCGCCCAAGAGUUCAUAUCGACGGCGGUGUUUGGCACCUCGAUGUCGGCUCAUCACAUCCUGGGGCUGAAGUAGGUCCCAAGGGUAUGGCUGUUCGCCAUUUAAAGUGGUACGCGAGCUGGGUUUAGAACGUCGUGAGACAGUUCGGUCCCUAUCUGCCGUGGGCGCUGGAGAACUGAGGGGGGCUGCUCCUAGUACGAGAGGACCGGAGUGGACGCAUCACUGGUGUUCGGGUUGUCAUGCCAAUGGCACUGCCCGGUAGCUAAAUGCGGAAGAGAUAAGUGCUGAAAGCAUCUAAGCACGAAACUUGCCCCGAG
rnacentral:rRNA from 1 species